rnacentral:rRNA from 1 species
CCCUUAGAUGUUCUGGGCCGCACGCGUGCUACACUGAGUGGAUCAGCGGGUCAGGUUGCGCGAAAGCGUUUCCUAAUCUUUAAAUCCGCUCGUGAUGGGGAUUGACGGUUGCAAUUUUCUGUCAUGAACGAGGAAUACCUUUUAAGCGCGGGUCAUCAUCCCGCGCUGAAUACGUCCCUGCCCUUUGUACACACCGCCCGUCGCUCCUACCGAUUGAGUGGUCCGGUGAGGCUUUGGGAUCUGAGCGGAAAGAGCGUUUCGCUGUUUCUGCUCGGAAAACUCAGUCGAACCUUAUCAUUUAGAGGAAGGAGAAGUCGUAACA